rnacentral:rRNA from 1 species
AUUGAACGCUGGCGGCAGGCUUAACACAUGCAAGUCGAGCGGAGAGAGGUAGCUUGCUACUGAUCUUAGCGGCGGACGGGUGAGUAAUGCUUAGGAAUCUGCCUAUUAGUGGGGGACAACAUUUCGAAAGGAAUGCUAAUACCGCAUAACGCAGCGGCACCGCAAGGUGACAGUUGUUAAAGGAGCAAUCCGCUUGAAGAGGAGCUUGCGGCAGAUUAGCUAGUUGGUAAGGUAAUGGCUUACCAAGGCUACGAUCUGUAUCCGGUCUAAGAGGACGGUCGGACACACUGACACUGAAUAACGGGUCAGACUCCUACGGGAGGCAGCAGUCGGGAAUUUUGGGCAAUGGGCGAAAGCCUGACCCAGCAACGCCGCGUGAAGGAUGAAGUAUUUCGGUAUGUAAACUUCGAAAGAAUGGGAAGAAUAAAUGACGGUACCAUUUAUAAGGUCCGGCUAACUACGUGCCAGCCGCCGCGGUAAUAC